rnacentral:lncRNA from 1 species
CUCAGUUUUUGGUCAAAAAAAGUAAAAGAAUAUUUCAUCUUCAAGUGAUGGGAAAAAUAAUAUCAAAUAUAUAUUUGCAAGUAUAGGGGGAGAAAUAAGUCCCCUGCUUGAGAUUUUCCUGGUUUAGGAACUUGGAAAAUGUUUUCCACCCUUGUUCUAUGAGUUUUCCCAAUGAAGUUCCAAGCCAUUAAGUGCCCACCAUGAACAAAGCCCUGCUUUUGGCUUCCUCCUUAGCAAGCUUAAUAUUCUCUACUUCGAUGUUUUGUUUUUUGUUUUUUUUCCGCCCCAU